UAUUCCAACAAUGACUGUAUCCAAACAGAAGGUCCAAGAAACCAGUAGAGUUGUUCAGUCCACAGCUGGCUAUCUCAGCUGGUCUUCAGUAUAUGCCAGAGUCCCAAAGCAGCAUGCUUUAAUGCCAGUGAAGGAAUGAACUUGCCAAUGAGAGCGAAAGCAAGCAGACAAAGGGCAAGAGCGCCUUUCUUCCCUGUCCUUUCCGUAGGCUGCCAGCAGAAGGUGUGGCCCAGAUUUAAGGUGGGUCUUCUUACUUUGAGUGAUCCAAUCAGACAAAAGCCCUCACAGGUAUGCUCAGCUGCUUGGGUUUUGGUUCAUUCCAAAUGUUGUUCAGUUGACAACCAAGAAUGGCCAUCACAGAGGUUAAACCAUUAUCUACCUUGAAGCAACAGACUGUGUGUUUGUCUUUUGGGAAACAUUUGCUGGUUGGUACAGCACUGCCAGAUAAUGCGUCCUCAUCAGUGAGGUUUCAAGCAGGAAUUAUCCAAGACAAAGCAGUUCUGAUACAGUCAAGCCUACAGCCAGAGGAAAGUAAGAAGACAUGUAAACAUUAUUGGGGACUGCCCUAACUGUCAUCAGAGAGCCUUCAUCCAGUAAUUUACGGAAGCAGAUGCAGAGAUCCACAGUCAAGCUCUGGGUUGAGCUCCAGGAAUCCAGUUGAAGAGAGGGAGGAGGGAUUGUAUGAGCGAGGGAGAUCAAGAUCAUGACAGCAGCACCCAGAGAGACAACUGAUCUGAGCUAGUGGGAGCUCACAGACUCUGGACUGACAGCUGGGGAGCCUGCGUGGGACAAACCUAGGUCCUCUGUGUGUGGGUGACAGUUGUGUAGCUUGGUCUGCUUGUGGAACCCCUAGCAGUGGGAUCAGGACUUAUCCCUGACCCAUGAGCUGGCUUCUGGGAACUAUUCCCCAUGCUGGACUACUUCGCCCAGCCUUGGUGCAAGGGUAGGAGCUUGGUCUUGCCUCAACUUGAAGUGCCAUGCUUGGUUGACUCCCGUGGGAGGCCUGUCCUUUUUCGGAACAGAGGAAGAGUGGAUGGGGAUGGGGUAGAUAGGA